GCGACUAGGACAUGAAUUUUCAUUGAAUUGUUCAAGUCAGUUAUCAAGUUCAAACUCAAGUUAAAGUUUCAGGUGUGGGAUUUACUUAAAUACAUGUCGUGGUUAAUUGUUGUCCAUUUUAAUAUUAUGUGUUUACCAUAUGUGAGUUAUAUAAUAUCGCUAGGGGCCGGCUGAAUCGGUCCAGGACGUCACAGUCUUUGGUAUGCCACAAUGCGAUUUACAUGUUAAAGUUAUGGUUGCAACCAAUCGCCAGGGGCCGGCUGAAUCGGUCAAGGACGGAAAGGUCCUUGGUAUGCCACCGUGCGAC
rnacentral:lncRNA from 1 species